rnacentral:rRNA from 1 species
UACGUAGGGUGCAAGCGUUGUCCGGAAUUAUUGGGCGUAAAGAGCUCGUAGGCGGUCUGUCGCGUCUGCUGUGAAAACUCAGGGCUUAACCCUGAGCUUGCAGUGGGAACGGGCAGACUAGAGUGCGGUAGGGGAGACUGGAAUUCCUGGUGUAGCGGUGAAAUGCGCAGAUAUCAGGAGGAACACCCGUAGCGAAGGCGGCGCUCUGGGCCGGUACUGACGCUGAGGAGCGAAAGCGUGGGGGGCAAACAGG